rnacentral:lncRNA from 1 species
GGCAAUCCAAUUCAGUCCUCGUGGGUCAAGCCUUGUCUUUCAGGGUCACGGCUAGUGAUCGUCGCUCGUCUACCUCAUGGAACAUUGCACCAGCCAGUUGGCAAUUUGGACAGACCUUCACUGGCAAGAAUUUCAGGGUUUAAAAUAAUUGGGAUGGAAAAUUAUUUCCUUUCGACCAAUUAAUUUACUUUCCAAGAUUUUUCCCGCCUUCGUAAUAGAAUCGGGAAUUAGUAUAGGAUUAGUUUUAAGUGUGUUUUGGGUGUUUACUUUUGGUCUUCCGUUUCUUUAGCCACUUUGGUAUGGGGUUAUUUUUCACUUUUACUUUUGUGUUUUCACUUUUGUAUUAGUGCUGGUAAAAAACGUCAAGAAAGACAGUGAUGUUGGGCUGAAGCAGCGGCUGCACGAAAAAGGAAAGCAUGUAGCCCGCAGCCCUAAUUAUGUUGUCUCAAAUUAUUACUACUAAUAAUUGUUAUAUAUGGAGUAUGUUUCUAUUGCCUUUUACUUAUUUUUAUCCAACAUUUCAUAUCGUUUAUUUAUGUUAAAUUGAAUAUUAGACAGGGUGUUGAAUAUCCCUCGACCAACUUCCACAUUCGAAUAACUAUCUAAUUAGUAUCAACAUAAUAAAUAAAUCUCUAUUUCAAAACUACUACAAAGUAGGCCUAGGCCAAAAAAUCUAAAAAUCGACCAAACCAAUCAAACAUGUUGGUUCGGGUUGGUUCGACACAAGUAAUUGGUUUAGUUUGGUUUUCUUUUAAACAAAAUCAUGGUGGAUCAGUUCAAUCAUAGUUUGAAAUUUCAAAUCAUUGGUUAAUCGAACCAACUCAACUCACUUACGUGUUCAUAUUUUUUUAAUUUAAGAAAAAUAAAAAUCAAAAGAUAAACUCUAAUUUUAUAAGUAUAUCUCGAUUCCCUUUAAUUUAUGAUAUUGCCGAUAAGCAAUAGUACUGAAAAUUUUCUUUCACAAAUUUAUUAUGUUAUAUUUAGCAUUUUUUUUCAUAUUCAAACAAUCAUACUACUGAUACAUAAAAAUGCAAUAAAAUUUUUAAGUUUUCUAUUAAUUUGUCUCCAUUAAUCUAAUUUUAUUUGUUAAUCAAUAGUUAUUAUAAUAUAAAAUUAUUUGAUUAUUUUAGUUUUUGUAAUUUAAAUGCGCUUAAAAUUCCAACAAUUUCAUUUUAAAAAAAAUAAAUUAAUUUGACUAAGCAGUGGUUCAAUUCAGUUUAAGAGCUAGAGUGAAUUGGUUUGAUUUGAAAUUUGUCCAAACUGACUAAUUUGAGUUUGGUUUCAGAUUGGAGUUGAAACUGACACAAAUCAAAUCGCGCUCAAACUUAUUUAUGAAGAAUGGGGACAAGUAAAUUAGAUAUUUAAAGUUUCAUAAGAGAAUAAUGGACGAUAUAUUGGCCACGAUAUUUGCUGGUUGGCCGGGGAUCAUUUCUUCAUUACAAUGCCAGGAGAUAUUAGGGGUGGUGAACGCAAUUCGAUUUGAGUGAUUUGUGCUGUACUUUUGACUCAAAACAUUUUAUGUGGCUUGAAAUUUUUUCAAACAAAAUCAUUUUAUUUUUCAAACCAAACCAUUUUAUUUUUCGAACAAAACCAUAAUUUGCAGUUUGGUUGGAUUUUAUCCGCGGUUUACCUAUCGAUAUUAUAAUAACAUACUUAACAUAAGUUAACAUAUAAGUUUAAACGAGAACUAAUAAUGUUAAAUGUUAAAUUUCAUUCAUAUUUAUCAUAAAAUCCAUGAAUAAAUUAUUUUCAAAGUUUCUUACUAAAAGAUAUUAAUAGAACAAAUAUAUCGUUCUUUAUUUUAUUUAUCUUUUCUUGUUUGACAUUUAUAUUAUCAUAUAACGGUUGAUAAAUGUAGAGUUACAUUCUGAUAUUAUAGUUUGAUUAAAACUUCUUUCAUCUUCGUAGUGAGAUGUUAAAUAAGGAUUGAACUGAGUAUGUUUAGAUGUACAAAGAUUAAUAUAGUUUCGAUUUAUUGAGAAUUGACGAAUUUCAUUCUCUAACUGCUUUAUGAAAGUAGAUGGUGGUAGUACUAGUUAGAGAAUUUUAAUAUUUUCACACAAUCAAGAAAAUGUGUUCUUCGUUUUUUUUUCAAACUACAAACAAGUUCAUUAAUCAUCUAGGCACACAAACAAUUAUUUUUCUAUCCAAACCACAAUUCAUAAGUGUCUAAUAAAUUCAGAAACAACAAAUAAAAGAAAGAAUAACGAAAAAAUGGCUUGAAUGAGAAUUUGAGACUUAUAGAAAUAGAAGAGAUAAAGAGGUGAUUCGGGUAGAAAUUAGUAGACUAACAAGUAAAGGCGACUGACAAUUUAUUCAGCAAUGACAGACAAACGUCAAAUGUUAGGAAAAUGAAAGUUUAUGUUAAGGCUUCUGAAACUUUGGACGUGAUUUGCUGACAUAGUUUUGUUGAAUUAUGAUUUGAAUUGUUGAAUAUAUAUAUAUAUAUAUUUUUUUUUUUUUCAUUUCAUAUGAUUUUUGAAUAAUUUUAGUUUAGUUUAGAUAUUGAGUGAGGACCUAUGUUGUGAACUUGUUAAAUCAUAUGCCAAUAAUAAUGAACCUAAUUUACUUUCUAUACUUAUUUCAAUAGGUUCAUUGUAAUUUGUAUUGCUAAAUUGAUAUUUUUUCUGAAAAGUGAAAACUGUAAAAUUUUAAGUCAAUAAAAUUAAUGUUUUAAUUAAAAAAUUUAUUACGAUUUAAUUUUAUGCGGUUUUUGAAAAUUAAAACCUAAACCAAAUCAUUUUUGAAACAGUUUGGUUCGAUUUGAGGGAAAAAAAAAACACGGGUCCACGUGGACCCAAACCAACGGUUUCAACUCAACUGUUUUAGUUCGAUUUGCAAUUUUAUGAUUUUUUUUUUACAGCCCUAGGAGAUACAAUAUUUAAUAGUAGAAGAUUAAGAACAAAGUGAAAAUAGGCAUUACAUUUCUUUAAAUUUUAUAUAAUUUGUGCAUAUUUUGGCAUUGCAGAGUGGAGAACUUUACACACCAGUAAAUUUUGUGACCAUAUGUUUAAUCCAGUGCUCUAAAGGACUUGCUUAGCACUGUCAAGCACGCCCGAAUGAUAAUCUUUUCAUUUGACAAGAAAUUUUUUCUUAUUUCAAAAUUAAGUGCAACUAAAUAUUUAACUUUUAAAACCUAAAAAUGAAAUACGUCCGACAAAAACCCAUGAUCAUAGUUUUUUCUCUCCACUAACAAAACAUUAUUCGUUAUUUAAAAAAUAUGUAUGAAGUUCUCAUAACACAUUGCAAAUAUAUAUAACGUUAGGAUAAUUAGUACAAAACGUCCUUAUCUUUUAAUGCUAUUGUGCAAAAAAUUCUUACCUUUCAUUUCUUAGCAUUUUCACACCUAUUUUUACAUUUUCUUGCGAAAAGGGCCAUUUUCAUCAAAUUUCUCAAUAAAAAAUGUAAAAUAAUAUAUACCUCAUAUUUAAAUUAAAAAAAAAAGAAAAUUUUUAAAAAAAUUUGCAAUUAUACUUCCAAACUUUUUUAAAAGCCGCAAAUAAGCUCAAAUAAAUUAUUAAAAGGGUAAUUAGCAUAAAAUGUCUCUACCUUCAAUAUUAUUGUGCAAAAUAUCCAUACUUUCAUUUUUUACAUUUUCAUCCUUAUUUCACAUUUAAUUGAGAAAAUCAUCAUUUUCAUCCAUUUUUCAAUUAAAAGUUGUAAAAUAACAAAUAUACCCUCCUAUUUAAAUAAAACAAAAAUAAAAGGAAAUAGCAAAUUACAACUAUACUCACAACUUUUUUUAAAAAGUACAAAUAAAUAAUUAAAAACAAUUUUUUUUUCAAAAAAACCACUUUCUUUUUUAAUUAUUUUAUUUGGAAUUUAUUUUUAUUUUUCUUUUGCAAUUUUUUGAAGUAUAGUUCUUUAUUUUUGUUUUAUUUAAAUAAGAGGGUAUAUUCAUUAUUUUACAACUUUUAUUGAGAAAAUGAAUGAAAUGAUGAUUUUCGUAAUAUAAUGUAAAAUAAGGGUGAAAAUGUCAAAAAACGAAAGAUAUGGAUGUUUUGCACAAUAAUAUUGAAAAGUAUGGGUGUUUUAUUCUAAUUAUUCUUUUAAUAAUUUAUUUGGACUCAUUUAUAGUUUUUUAAAAAGUUCGAAAGUAUAAUUGAAAUUUGUUGUUUAAUUUUUCUUUUCUUUUUUUCGUUUUAUUUAAAUGGGAGGUUAUAUUUGUCAUUUUACAUUUUUAUUGAGAAAUUGGAUGAAAAUAACAUUUUCUAUAAUGAAAAGUGAAAAUAGAGGUGAAAACGUCUAAAGAUAAAAGAUAAUGACGUUUUGCACAAUAACAUUAAAAUGUAAGGACGUUUUAUGCUAAUUACCUUAUAAAGUUACUAUAAAUUUACAAAGUAUUUGUCAUUUUAUUUAUUUACUAAUCUAGCAUAAUUAAAAUGAUUUUAAAAAUGGUAGAACAUCUUAUUACUCCAAGUGUCAUAAGGGUUUUGCCACUUUAAUUGAAAAAUUAUAACAAAUGAUUUGAUGGUGAUGUUGACUGUAUUUAAAACAAUCAAACGAUGAGAUAAUAUGUGAUAUUAUGUCAAGAAUUAUAUUACUGUAUCAUGAUUAGGGUCAUAAUGCUUGACCUCAUACCUUGUCUUUGUCAUGCUUACACCUUCUAAAACCUUGGUUCAGUUUGUCGGACAAGAUAAUAAGAUUGAAAAAUUCCUGUUGUUUUUUCUUAUAUAAUAUUAAUGACACGUAUCAAUUAUAAAUUUAUAAUUUAGGCUCCGUUUGAUUUGCCAAAUUUUCCAUGGAACUUGGAAUUCGAAUUCCAACUUUCACUUUUUGCCUAUUUGAUUGACAAAAUUUUCUAGGGAAUUCAUUUUCCAUGUAAUUCUAGGUACAACACCUUAAAGCGUGAUUUUUCACCUUUUAUUUUUCUAGGGGGUUGGUGGUUUUUUGUUUUCCACCUUUUUUUUUUAAUUGUUGGCAAUGAGAAUAAAUUUUAGGAACAAUUGUAAAAAAAGAUAUACCUGAAAUUGACAAUUUUCAUGUAAAACAAAGCCAUACGAACACCAAAAUAUAGAUGAUUUUUUGAUCUUUUUUUUUUUGGCAAUGGAAACAAAUUCUAGGAACAAUGAUAGAAGUUGAUAUCCCUUAAAUUGACAAUUUUCAUAUAAAACAAAGCCAAACGAACACCAAAAAAUACUUUUAUUUCAACAUUUUUCACGUGAAAAAUUAUACCAAUCAAACAUAAUAAUUUACAAUUCCCAAGAAAACAAUUUCUAGAUAAUUCAAUUUCCUGGAAUUCAUUUUCUUUCCACCCAAAUUUCAUUUUCGCAAUCAAACAGACCCUUAGUUACAACAAGAGAAAUAUGUCAAAGGGCUACACUAAGAAUCUAACUGCACUAUAAAUAGUUGAAUUGAUUAUCGUAUACUUGCACUAUAAACCAUAGUUUUCAAAUUCAGUAUAGCCAAUCUAAAUGAAAAUCUGUUAAAGUGAACCAUGGUUUGGUCCCAUCAGUAUAUUUGACCAAUUGACAAUUGAACUUUACAAACCACAUAAAUAGGGAAUUCCCAACUUAUCACGCUAAUAAGGUGCAAGACUCACAAUUUUUGAAUUUUGGACUAUGCAAUUUGUAAGUUUACAUCUUUUAAGCUAGCACUAUUUGUAGCCAAACAUUCUUCUCAUGUUUUCAUUAGGUCAAUGAUCAGAUCGAAUCUAAUAACUAUGAUGUGAAUAAACAAUAUUAUUCUUUCGUUAAAGUCAUUCCUAGAUGAAACAAAUAUCUACAUGUAAAAGUCAUAGUAUAUAUCAAUUAUACGAGAUUAUUCUUGCGUACUUUUCAUUUUUUUUGUAUUAAGAUUGUGUUUGGAUAUUUAUGAGAUAAAAAAGUGUAAAGGGACAUAUGCCUUAUCUCUAAUUAAAUAAAUGCCUUUCGGUGGUAGAACAAUGGUAAGAGGCUAAAAGGACCACUUGACAUUCUUACCAAUUAAGACCAAACCUUAUAUACUUAGGUAACUUAGAUUCUUUCUUUCUUUCUUUCUUUCUCUUUUCCAUGAGAAUUUAUUUGUCAGAGUAAACCCAUAAUUUAUGUCUUUUCAUCAUGUGUCUCUGAUGUUUAAUUGUCGUAGUUGGAAAUAGAAUUAUUUUGUUCCUAGACUCGAUGGAUGCAUAUUGAUAUUAUGCAAAAUGGAAUGCACGCCAGAAAUUCAGUUUUAUUACCUUAUUUAAGUAACUUUUCUUUAAUUAUUCAAUCUACAAACGUAAAUGGUUCAACCGCUAUGAAAUAAAUGUAAAGUUAUUUAUAUUUAUGUCUUAAAUAUCUCUCAACUACAUGCGCGCCACAUUCAUAGUGCUCUUUAAGAGACUAAACUAGGCAGGAUCGAGGGUAAAAUUUAUCUAAUAAAAUUGGCGCAAAAAAAAGAUACAGCGUACCUUUUAAGUUCAUAUACUAUAUUGAAUUGUUUAAUUUAAAAGCUUAAAUUGCUCGUAAAAUUGAAAUCGAGAUAUUUUGACAAGUUGGUAGGAGGUCAUGUGAGUGGGUUAGUACAUUAUUGUUUAAUCUUGGAAUUUCAGUGACAUAGGAUUCUUCUAAGGGGUAUGAAAAUGCCACUGAUUAGAAUCUGUUUUUCAAACAAACGAAUCAUCUUUUGAAGAAGUGCCUUAGAAAAGAAACAAAAUCUUUGUACAUUGAAAUAAUAAAACAAAAUCAAAUGGAAAUUGAAAACUUUCAUGUGAAAGUUGGGGAAUCCGAAGAAUAUAUUCUGGAGAUCCCAAAAAGAAGAAGAAGAUCAAAAGGUACUUAUAGUGUGUAAUACAAGUUCUAUCCUCUCAGGCCAUAAGAUUUUUCUCUAUUUAAAAAAUAAAAAAUAAAAAAUAAAAAAAUAAAGAGAUAGUAUGAAUAUAGGCGCGAGACGAGCAUUUUUAGUUGUUUAAAAGUAAGUAUAAGUUUUGCUCAAGUGUAAUCAAGCAUGUUCGUAGAUUCAAAAUGACAUAGGGGAUGGUAAUGGAACGGUAAGAUGAGAGGAUUAAUUAUCUGGAUUUAUCAUAUUGUUUAAUUAAUAAUAUUAUUGAAUAAUUGAAUAAGAUAUUCUUAUAUACGUUGAGAAUUAUAUACCCUACCCAAUUCCACCGAGAACAAUUAAUUCGAAGAAAGAAAAAUAAACAUUCAAGAACGUGUAAAAUUUAUAGAGAUUCGCUUCAAUAUAUGUUUACGUCCUCUCCCACCUUUGCAAUGAUUCACUAUGAUGAAAAAAGGUUUACAAGAACAAAUCGCUCAUAUAUGUUCUCUAUCCUCUAUUUCUCUCUUUUUGAUAAUUAAUAAAGCCUAAAGACAAUUCCCGCUUUGUAAGAAAAAUUAGGGCAAAAUCGAAUUUUACAGGGACUCUUAUUCUUUAAUAGAACUUUGCAGAAAUAAAAAUUUCUAAAUAAUCCCUAAUGAUAUUUUGAUUUGAAGCCCCCUGCCUCCCUUCUAAAACCCCAUGGUUACCUCACCACGGAGGUCGAUUCCUUACCAACUCCGCUAAGCAACAAUAAUUCGGCAAAAUCUAAAAAAAUCUAAGUUUAUCACACAUUUUUUGCAAUUCAAAAAAAUUUAUUUACACAUUUAGUCAAUUUUUGUUAAAAUAUACUAAAAGUCCGUUUUUCUAUCUCAAUUAAACGUAGAGUAAAUUAUAACGCUAUAUUUCUAGAAAAUAGCUUCAAUAUAAAAUGUACAACAAUUGGGCCACAUCCAGCAGUGUAUCGUUUGCGGUUGUAUUGUCCCAACCCAGUAUAUAGAGCUUUGAGGCCUUUCGUCCAUUGUUAAAACGAAAAAUCCUUGAAUGAAGUCGACACUGGAAAUUCGGUUACGUACUGCAAGUAGAAUUGUAGUUGCAUACACACACACACACACACACACACACACACAAAAAGAAUACAAACGUAAAGCACCGCCAAGAUGCAAAAUAACAUUAUUCGAUAUUGGGCAUGAGAGUGAAAAGUUAAGCCAUAUGUUUUCCCAAUCUGGUUUGACAAUGAUGAAUUUUUUCCUGAACGGGCGAAGGUUUAUGGAAGAUGAAUCUAACUCUUUCUCAGUUUGGUUCAAAGAUGUGGUUAGAGCUUCGGAAAUCGCCCGUGAUUUUGCAGCUGAUAAUUUUCGAUUGUAGAUGAAGAUGGCGCGGAAGAUGGUAUAACCGUGACUUUUUCUUUUUUUUGCCAACUUCCAUUUGUUAACACGUUUAGAGCAUCUCUAAUGGGAUGUGGAUUGUACUAAAAAGUGUCUCGUCAUCCCAAAAUACUUAAAUGACAAGGAAAUUUGUGAAGCAUGUCUAACGUACCAAAUUUGUUGAAAUAAAUUUAAAAGUAAAAAUAAUUAUUCAUAAAAUUUUAAAGUUCAACAAAACUAAUUUUUAAUUUGUUUUAGUUUAACGAACUAUUGAAUUGAGUUCAACAUUUUUAUGUUCAUCCGCCCAUGUCAAAAAUCAAAUCUUCAAUAAUAGAAAAUGAUACUGUCAUUUUCACGCUUCUGAAAAAAAUUGAAUUGCCAAAUGUAUAAAUUAACUUGGAAAUUUUGUUGGCCAAGUUACAAGCUCCGUCAAUUUUGAUGAAGUCAUAUUAAACGAUCAACACGGAACAGUUUCGUAAGAAUAAUGAUAGCUAAUUAUUUAUUUAUUUAUUAUUAUUAUUUUUUUUUUUUUUUCCUUUUUACCCAAGCUUAAAAUAUAUAACAUAUGGUAACGAAAAUAUUUUUUCUGGUGUUUCGCGAGACAUCGCCGUCUGUGGGAAUCGAACCCACGACCACGUGGUUAAAAGCCACGCGCUCUACCGGCUGAGCUAAGACGGCUUGGGUUCUCCUUGCUCAUAUUCAUAAUGUUAUUUUAAUUUGAUAAUUUAUUUGGCCUCUAACAAAAGGUACAACAAAUCAGUUAUACUACAUAUACAUCAGGACGUCUAUAAGGGUAUCCACUCCCCACACGUAGAGAAUAACCCACUUGAAAUAAAAUAUAAUUUAUCCUAGUGGAUCCCUCUUCAUAUGAAGAGAACGAACACCGCAUUAUGUACAAAUAGCAUACCACUUAGUAUAUUUAUAGCUUAUAAUACAUACAAUUUGCAAAUGUGAAAUUGAAAAUUCUAGAUUUACUCUCUUUCAAGAUUUGUCCGUGAAAAGGUGCAAUUGAGGGAAUUUUAUGCCAAGACUAAUUUAAUUGUCUCAUUCAUUUCAUUAUAUAAUAAUCUGUGAAUUUUGGUUGACAAUUAAAAUCAUUGCCCUUUUCUUCUCUCUCGAGGUCAAAAUACGUUCCAACCACUAAAUUUUAAGCGAAAACAAAACUUCGAAUCAAAAUAGAUGUCAUUUAUAAUAACGCAUUGAGCUAUGCAAUUCAAAAGUUUAAUAUACUUAAAAAAGAGAAGAAUUUAAUUUCUUAGAAUUGGGCAGAAGUGAAACUUUAACGAUUUUUAUUUGUUAUAAUAAUAUGUAGAAAUAAAUCAUUCAAAAAGAUAUAAAAUUAUUGAGUUUGUUUUAACAUUUCAUUUUCAUUGGACAGAGGUAUUGUAGGAUGUGUCGGGGUUAAAUAUGGAAAUGACUUUUGAAUGAUUUUGGAGGGUAUUGUAGUAAAAUAACAUGCUACAAUUUGCCGGGCAAUCAGGGUAGGACUGUGCUAAGAAAGUAAAUUGACGUGUCUAUUGUUGUUCACGCGCCUUUGGGCCCACCACUUCCGUUAAAAGCGGCGCCGUUUAGGUGGUCCACUGUACCGGAAAUACCCGCCAAUUGCACUAUCUGAUCUUUUUAGCUCUUUGCUUUUCACUUAAUUUUUUUUUUUUUUUUUUUUUGGUCUUGUUUCCGUUAAAAGCGGCGCCGUUUAGGUGGUCCACUGUACCGGAAAUACCCGCCAAUUGCACUAUCUGAUCUUUUUAGCUCUUUGCUUUUCACUUAAUUUUUUUUUUUUUUUUUUUUUGGCAUUAACCCCCCCCCUUUUUUAAACAUUUGGCAGGGUACCAUGUAGAAAGCAAGGGGGGAUCAGAUUCACAAUCAAUGGUUUUCGUUACUUCAACUUGGUUUUGAUCACUAAUGUAGCGGGUGCAGGAGAUAUCGUGAGGCUUAGCAUCAAAGGUACAAACACUCAAUGGAUGCCGAUGAGUCGCAAUUGGGGACAAAACUGGCAAUCCAAUUCAGUCCUCGUGGGUCAAGCCUUGUCUUUCAGGGUCACGGCUAGUGAUCGUCGCUCAUCUACUUCAUGGAACAUUGCACCAGCCAGUUGGCAAUUUGGACAGACCUUCACUGGCAAGAAUUUCAGGGUUUAAAAAAAUUGGGAUGGAAAAUUAUUUCCUUUCGACCAAUUAAUUUACUUUCCAAUAUUUUUCCCGCCUUCGUAAUAGAAUCGGGAAUUAGUAUAGGAUUAGUUUUAAGUGUGUUUUGGGUGUUUACUUUUGGUCUUCCGUUUCUUUAGCCACUUUGGUAUGGGGUUAUUUUUCACUUUUACUUUUGUGUUUUCACUUUUGUAUUAGUGCUGGUAAAAAACGUCAAGAAAGACAGUGAUGUUGGGCUGAAGCAGCGGCUGCACGAAAAAGGAAAGCAUGUAGCCCGCAGCCCUAAUUAUGUUGUCUCAAAUUAUUACUACUAAUAAUUGUUAUAUAUGGAGUAUGUUUCUAUUGCCUUUUACUUAUUUUUAUCCAACAUUUCAUAUCGUUUAUUUAUGUUAAAUUGAAUAUUAG